rnacentral:rRNA from 1 species
AUGGAGCUGCUGCCCAAAACAGUUUCGGCAGAAGAAACAAGCCAGGAUUGCUUCGGGCCGGACGUCUUUAUCAGCAAGGAAGACGAAACCCGUUAUGCCCAACGUUUGCGUCCCAGCAUUCUUCCCAGGGAGGAAGACCUUCCACUUGAUAUGACAUGGGAGGAAGAAGGCAAGAUAAAAGCACGCCUUGCACGCCUUCGCAUCACUUAUUACAAGGCUUUGAAGCCAGAGUGCGCACGUGAACGUGAGCUUAAGGAACCAGAAGAAUACACUGAUGUUGAACUUCGUAAGGAGUUUUACUUUAAGAGGUUAGAGGAGGAUGCAAGUUUUGAGUGGUUCGUCCAUCCCGAUGAUACCUAUAAAGCUGGAUUGAAUGACUACCAACGGAUUGCCCCUCGUAAUUUUCUGCCUUAUAGCGGUCGGAACCUGUACCGCUAUCACAAUGAGUACCGCUCACGUUAUCAUACAUAUAAAAUUGAUGCUGUUUAUGUCAAUGGAAUAGACAAGGAUACUAGAGCAUGGAGGCAAGCAUUGAGGAUUGCAACUGGCUUUCCUCAUAUGACUGUUCGUUUAGCUGCUUUUGCUUAUAAUGAGUACAUUCUUGAGAUGGAUAAGGAUGCGUCCCUCAAGGACAUAGGUCUUCUCUAUUUUGAGAUCUGGAGGCGUGUUGCUAAGAAAAAUGUUGUUAUCCUACUACAUCAAACAUUUUUAAGUUACAUGGAAGCUGUGAAGGAAGUAUAUGAAAUGGACAAGUUUGAUGUACACAAAAGGAGACUAGAUGGUGAGCUGAAAGGGGUUCCUGUCAUUGCAACUAUAAAAGAAUAUAUGCACUAUGUUGCCCGACAGGGUGGCAUUGAUGUGAAGCAUAAAACAAUGAACAUGGCUCAGUACGCUCAGAAGAAGUUGGAUUUAGCAGAUGAGCUGAAGUUGGACAAAGAGGGUGGAGUUGUUCCAUUAGAAAGACCCUUCGAGUUCUGA